UUACAACAGCCGUUGUUUCUUGGAUCUUCAUUUACUUGGAUAACUGUGGUAAUUCUAGAGCUAAUACAUGCAACACAGCUCCGACCGCUCGGAAGGAGNGCAUUUNUUANACCAAGACCAAUCGGGCUUCGGCCUGGAAUCUGGUGACUCUGAAUAACUUUGCUGAUCACACGGUCCUAGCACCGGUGACAGAUCUUUCAAGUGUCUGCCCUAUCAACUUUCGAUGGUAGUUUAUGUGCCUACCAUGGUUGUAACGGGUAACGGAGAAUAAGGGUUCGACUCCGGAGAGGGAGCCUGAGAAAUGGCUACCACAUCCAAGGAAGGCAGCAGGCGCGCAAAUUACCCACUCUCAGCUCGAGGAGGUAGUGACGAAAAAUAACGAGACGGUUCUCUAUGAGGCCCGUCAUCGGAAUGGGUACAAUUUAAACCCUUUAACGAGGAUCUAUUGGAGGGCAAGUCUGGUGCCAGCAGCCGCGGUAAUUCCAGCUCCAAUAGCAUAUACCAAUUCUGUUGCUGUUAAAAAGCUCGUAGUUGGAUCUUUUCCGAGGAUGGAGUCUGUUCAAUGGACAUGUACUCUAUUCCGAGGAUUUUUUUGCUGGUUUUCCUAUGGUGCACUUUACUGGGUGUCAUAGGNGGCUAGCACGUUUACUUUGAAAAAAUUAGAGUGCUCAAAACAGGCGUUACUGCCCGAAUAGUGGUGCAUGGAAUAAUGGAAUAGGAUCUCGGUUCUAUUUUGUUGGUUUUAGGAGCGCGAGAUAAUGAUUAAGAGGGACAGACGGGGGCAUUCGUAUUGCGGCG
rnacentral:rRNA from 1 species